AUGGGCACCACUACCGGGCAAAAGACAGCUCUGCUCCUUCUUGGGACCCUCUGGGUUCUUCUUGGUACCUGCAAUGCUGCUGAAUUCUCCCCUGCAGACAACUACCUCAUCAACUGCGGCUCCACAGUCGACGCUAAUCUCCACGAUGGGAGGGUCUUCAAAGCAGACAAUUCCGGCUCGACUAUAUUGACAUCACAUCACAGCGUCCCUGCAAACACCUUGCCGGAUGCAGUCAUAAGUUCUGACAAUCCUGUGCUGUAUCAAACUGCAAGGAUAUUCAUUGUGCCGUCGUCCUACUCCUUCAACAUGAAGAGCCGUGGCCGGCAUUUUGUCCGGCUACACUUCUUCGGUUUCAGAUACCAGAGCUAUGAUCUUGCCGCGGCAAAGUUCAAAGUGUCCACCCAGCAUGUUGUGUUACUGGACAAUUUCACUCCGCCGAGCAAUUCCUCACCGUUGGAUUCAGCGCAAACUGUGAAUCCCUCCGGCCAGUAUCUCGGCCUUGCAACACAGUCAUUUCAGACAUUCUACAGGAUUAAUGUGGGUGGACGGGAGGUGACCGUUGUCAAUGACACACUCUCGCGUUCAUGGGAUACUGACCAGAACUUCUUCAUAAAUUCCACUACCACUGAACUGUUUGCUUACCAAGGGAGGCUGAAUUAUCAGAAAGGAGCUGCAACCAAGGAGGAUGCACCGGACAGUGUGUACAACACUGCAAGGCGGUUGGCUGUGCAAAAUAGAACCAGCCCAGCGUCCAACAUGACAUGGCAAUUUGAUGUUGACGGUCGUUCGAGCUAUCUGAUCCGGUUCCAUUUUUGUGACAUAGUGAGCAAGGCAGCAUAUUCCCUCUACUUUGAUAUUUAUGUGGAUGGCGGGUUAGCGUUAGAAAAUCUUGACCUCUCUGAAAAAGUUUUUGGUACCUUGGCUGUGCCAUACUACACGGAAUUUGUCUUGAAGUCAAGCAAUCCUUCUGGUAAGCUAAGUGUCGGCAUUGGGCCUUCCAGCUUGAACAAUGUGGCACUAGAUGGCAUCUUGAACGGCCUGGAGAUCAUGAAGAUGAACAUCAGUACUGGCACUAUUUAUGUUGUGUGGCCACCAGCAACGCCAAAAAGGAAACUGGCUAUCAUAUUGGGCCCUGUUCUCGGAGGUGUUGGUGCUGUUAGCAUUGCUAUUAUUCUCUGCUUUGUCCUCAGAAGAAAGAAGAAGGAGAAGAAGCCGCGGCGGGCACCGACAAGUCGACCUUCAAGUUCUUGGUCACCACUUACCCUCAAUGGCCUUAGCUUCCUUAGCAUAGGUACCCGAACAACCAGCCGGACCACUCAUACAUCUGGGACAAACAGUGAUGUAAGCUACCGAAUACCUUUUGCUUUGCUGCAAGUGGCAACAAAACACUUCGACGAGCAGAUGGUUGUCGGAGUUGGGGGGUUUGGGAAGGUAUACAAAGCAGUUCUGCAGGACAGCACCAAAGUCGCAGUCAAGCGGGGCAACCAGAAGUCCCACCAAGGGCUCAAAGAAUUCCGGACAGAGAUCGAGUUGCUGUCGGGGCUGCGACACCGUCACCUCGUGUCGCUCAUCGGAUAUUGCGAUGAGCAGAACGAGAUGAUCUUGGUGUAUGAGUACAUGGAGAAAGGUACGCUGAAGAGUCACCUGUAUGGCAGUGACAUGCCUCCCCUCAGCUGGAAGAAAAGAGUGGAAAUCUGCAUAGGGGCUGCAAGGGGGCUCCACUACCUGCACACAGGUUUUGCAAAGUCGAUCAUCCAUCGUGAUGUCAAGUCGGCAAACAUUCUCCUCGACGAAAAUCUCAUGGCCAAGGUUUCUGAUUUCGGUCUCUCGAAGACGGGACCUGAGUUGGAUCAGACACAUGUUAGCACUGCGGUGAAAGGGAGCUUCGGGUAUCUUGACCCUGAGUACUACCGGAGGCAGAAGCUGACCGACAAGUCGGAUGUGUACUCAUUCGGCGUGGUCUUGCUGGAGGUGAUCUGCGCGAGGCCAGUCAUCGACCCGACGCUUCCAAGAGACAUGAUCAACCUUGCAGAAUGGGCAAUCAAGUGGCAGAAGAGGGGAGAGCUUGGUCAGAUCGUCGAUCAACGGAUCGCUGGGACAAUCAGGCCAGAGUCAUUGAGGAAGUACGGUGAGACGGUCGAGAAGUGUCUUGCGGAUUACGGCGUCGACCGCCCUACCAUGGGUGAUGUCCUGUGGAAUCUGGAGUUUGUGCUCCAGCUGCAGGAGGCCGGCCCGGACAUCUCCAAUGUGGACAGCAUGAAUCAGAUCUCUGAACUUCCUUCAGACGCCAGAAGGAUGGGCUCUCUGGAGAUCGGUACCGCAGACGAAGGCCGCACGAACAUGGAUUACUCUCAGAUGUCGACCAACGAUGCCUUCUCGCAGCUGAUGAACACUGAAGGGAGGUGA
rnacentral:rRNA from 1 species